GCUUUUGUAGUUAAAUGUAUAAUAUCGGGUUUUCUACCUGAAGUUGAAGUUACUUCUGAAAGUA
rnacentral:tRNA from 1 species